UACAGAGGUCCCAAGCGUUGUUCGGAUUCAUUGGGCGUAAAGGGUGCGUAGGUGGCGCCGUAAGUCAGGUGUGAAAUUUCGGAGCUUAACUCCGAAACUGCAUUUGAUACUGCGGUGCUUGAGGACUGGAGAGGAGACUGGAAUUUACGGUGUAGCAGUGAAAUGCGUAGAGAUCGUAAGGAAGACCAGUGGCGAAGGCGGGUCUCUGGGCAUAUCCUGACGCUGAGGCGCGAAAGCGUGGGGAGCAAACGGG
rnacentral:rRNA from 1 species